CAGUCCCGCGGUAAUACGAAGGGGGCUAGCGUUGUUCGGAUUUACUGGGCGUAAAGGGCGCGUAGGCGGGCUGAUAAGUCAGGGGUGAAAUCCCAAGGCUCAACCUUGGAACUGCCUUUGAUACUGUUUGUCUUGAGUUCGAGGGAGGUAAGUGGAGCUGCGAGUGUAGAGGUGAAAUUCGUAGAUAUUCGCAAGAACACCAGUGGCGAAGGCGGCUUACUGGCUCGAAACUGACGCUGAGGCGCGAAAGCGUGGGGAGCAAACAGGAUUAGAUACCCGGGUAGUCCCUGUCUCUUAUACA
rnacentral:rRNA from 1 species